rnacentral:rRNA from 1 species
UACAGAGGGUGCGAGCGUUAAUCGGAAUUACUGGGCGUAAAGCGCACGUAGUCGGCUUUGCAAGUCGGGUGUGAAAUCCCCGGGCUCAACCUGGGAACUGCAUCCGAGACUGCAUUGCUAGAGUAUGGGAGAGGGAAGCGGAAUUUCUGGUGUAGCAGUGAAAUGCGUAGAUAUCAGAAGGAACAUCAGUGGCGAAGGCGGCUUAAUGGACCAAUACUGACGAUCAGGUGCGAAAGCGUGGGGAGCAAACAGG